rnacentral:rRNA from 1 species
CCUACGGGUGGCAGCAGUAGGGAAUCUUCCACAAUGGGCGAAAGCCUGAUGGAGCAACGCCGCGUGGGUGAAGAAGGUCUUCGGAUCGUAAAACCCUGUUGUUAGAGAAGCAAGUGCGUGAGAGUAACUGUUCACGUUUCGACGGUAUCUAACCAGAAAGCCACGGCUAACUACGUGCCAGCAGCCGCGGUAAUACGUAGGUGGCAAGCGUUAUCCGGAUUUAUUGGGCGUAAAGGGAACGCAGGCGGUCUUUUAAGUCUCAUGUGAAAGCCUUCGGCUUAACGGGAGUAGUGCAUGGGAAACUGGGAGACGUGAGUGCAGAAGAGGAGAGUGGAACUCCAUGUGUAGCGGUGAAAUGCGUAGAUAUAUGGAAGAACACCAGUGGCGAAAGCGGCUCUCUGGUCUGUAACUGACGCUGAGGUUCGAAAGCGUGGGUAGCAAACAGGAUUAGAUACCCCAGUAGUC